GACGAACGCUGGCGGCGUGCUUAACACAUGCAAGUCGAACGGUAAGGCCCUUCGGGGUACACGAGUGGCGAACGGGUGAGUAACACGUGGGUGAUCUGCCCUGCACUUCGGGAUAAGCCUGGGAAACUGGGCCUAAUACCGGAUAGGACUCCGGACUGCAUGGUCUGGGGUGGAAAGCUUUUGCGGUGUGGGAUGGGCCCGCGGCCUAUCAGCUUGUUGGUGGGGUGAUGGCCUACCAAGGCGACGACGGGUAGCCGGCCUGAGAGGGUGACCGGCCACACUGGGACUGAGCUACGGCCCAGACUCCUACGGGAGGCAGCAGUGGGGAAUAUUGCACAAUGGGCGCAAGCCUGAUGCAGCGACGCCGCGUGAGGGAUGACGGCCUUCGGGUUGUAAACCUCUUUCAGCACAGACGAAGCGCAAGUGACGGUAUAUGCAGAAGAAGGACCGGCCAACUACGUGCCAGCCGCCGCGGUAA
rnacentral:rRNA from 1 species